CAGGGAAUAGUUUAAAAUUUAAAAUAUUAAUUUUGGGAAUUAAUGAAGAGGUAUUUACUUUUUCUCUGA
rnacentral:tRNA from 1 species